UCUUCAUUUCACGUGCUCUCUCACCGGUCAGAGUGCCGAGAGAGUGUGCAGAAUGAAGAGA
rfam:Pristionchus pacificus strain PS312 contig2157, whole genome shotgun sequence.